UACAGAGGGGGCAAGCGUUGUUCGGAAUUACUGGGCGUAAAGGGCGCGUAGGUGGCCUUCUAAGUUGAACGUGAAAUCCCUGGGCUCAACCCAGGAACUGCGUCCAAGACUGGGAGGCUUGAAUCCGGGAGAGGGAUGCGGAAUUCCAGGUGUAGCGGUGAAAUGCGUAGAUAUCGUUUGGAACGCCAAUGGUGAAAACAGAUUGCUGGGAGUGUGCUGACGCUGAGACACGAAAGCCAGGGGAGCGAACGGG
rnacentral:rRNA from 1 species